rnacentral:lncRNA from 1 species
AGAUCCCGAGGGUCUCAUUGAUCCCUCAUUGUGCAUGUAACGGUACAAGCUUGCCUCAGUGAAAACACUUGGGAAGAUGAACACCUGGACAGAGUGACCUGUCUCUCCUCCCAACUUCACCUCCACUUGGCAACUUCUCUUGAGCUCACUCAUAUCUAAACUCAAAGAGAAAGACAUUUAAACACAGAUAUCUUUGUAAGUCUCAGAGUAGUGAAUAUGAAUACAAUGGGAAGGAAACAAAUUACCAUCAUGAACAGGCACAAUUCCAGAGUUUAAACUGUGAUUUUAAAAAGUCACAGCUGGGCGUGGUGGCGCACGCCUUUAAUCCCAGCACUUGGGAGACA